CUACGGGGGGCACCAGUGGGGAAUAUUGCACAAUGGGCGCAAGCCUGAUGCAGCCAUGCCGCGUGUAUGAAGAAGGCCUUCGGGUUGUAAAGUACUUUCAGCGGGGAGGAAGGGAGUAAAGUUAAUACCUUUGCUCAUUGACGUUACCCGCAGAAGAAGCACCGGCUAACUCCGUGCCAGCAGCCGCGGUAAUACGGAGGGUGCAAGCGUUAAUCGGAAUUACUGGGCGUAAAGCGCACGCAGGCGGUUUGUUAAGUCAGAUGUGAAAUCCCCGGGCUCAACCUGGGAACUGCAUCUGAUACUGGCGAGGUUGAGUCUCGUAGAGGGGGGUAGAAUUCCAGGUGUAGCGGUGAAAUGCGUAGAGAUCUGGAGGAAUACCGGUGGCGAAGGCGGCCCCCUGGACGAAGACUGACGCUCAGGUGCGAAAGCGUGGGGAGCAAACAGGAUUGAUACCCUCGAGUC
rnacentral:rRNA from 1 species